AGGAAUACAUCGGAAUCUGCCUUGUUGUGGGGAUAACGUAGGGAAACUUACGCUAAUACCGCAUAAGACCGUAAGGUGAAAGCGGGGAUCGAAAGACCUCGCGCGACAAGAUGAGCCGAUGUCGGAUUAGCUAGUUGGCGGGGUAAUGGCCCACCAAGGCGACGAUCCGUAGCUGGUCUGAGAGGAUGAUCAGCCACACUGGAACUGAGACACGGUCCAG
rnacentral:rRNA from 1 species